UCCUGGUUAACCCAGGCAGUCUCACUAGAGUUCCCACCUUUACGUGUUGGCAACUAGUGAUAAGGGUUGCGCUCGUUGCGGGACUUAACCCAACACCUCACGGCACGAGCUGACGACAGCCAUGCAGCACCUGUUUAGUGGUCCCGAAGGAACUCUUCAUCUCUGAAGCUGUCCACUAUAUGUCAAGACUGGGUAAGGUUCUUCGCGUUGCAUCGAAUUAAACCACAUGCUCCACUGCUUGUGCGGGUCCCCGUCAAUUCUUUUGAGUUUCACCCUUGCGAGUGUACUCCCCAGGCGGUAUACUUAUCGCGUUAGCUACGGCACAGCCAGGGUUGAGUCCGGCUACACCAAGUAUACAUAGUUUACGGUAAGGACUAC
rnacentral:misc_RNA from 1 species